GGGAACGAGAGAGCCCGAAAUUACCCACAAAUUCUAUGUCUCCGAACAUGUAUCCUGAAGGCCAGGGGAGUGAAGCAUCUAGAUCCUACUACCAGGGCCAGAGGACUGAUCCAAGGUUGGCAUUAGAGAAUCAAGGUGGCAAGGAUCCUAGAGCACUGCCUCGUGAAGAAGGCAUGGAUAUUGGUUAUGAAGAUAAGCCUGAACAGCAGACUUUGGAAGGUCUUGAAAAGAAAUUCCUUGAUGAUAUAAUGAAACUGACCAAGGAGCAAAAUGAUGCAGAGGAUGCUGAAAAUUCUAGGCAUAGGGAGCGGAUAAAUGCAAUCAACACACAAUAUCAAGAACAGCUAGUUGCCCUUCGUGCCCGGCAAGCUAAUCACAGAGAUGAAGUCCUUCGAAGGGAGUGUCAUGCCAGAAAACAACAGUAUGAGCAAGUUGCUUUGGACAACUAUCGACACAGCAACAUGAGCACUAGCAAUGCUCGUGGAUAUGUGGGAAACUCUCCAGCAGGAGAACGACAAGUUGCCUACAACUCUCCAGCAGGAGAACGACAAGUUGCCUAC
rnacentral:misc_RNA from 1 species